UCUCUGCAAGCAUACAAGAUUUAGUCUUCAGUUUGGUUGCGCAGAAAGAAACAGUGUUUUAUGGAAACACUGAGAGCUCUUGAAUCUUGGGGGUUCUCUUCAACAAUUUUUUUUUACUCUUCUUUCACUGAUUUUCUCAGCAACCAAACAGAUUUGAUUGCUAAAAAAACAGAGUUUAAGGAAACAAUGCGAUAUCUUGAAUCUUGGGUUUUUUUUUGGUAAAUUUAUUUUGUUUUAUUAGUCUUUCAUUGAUUUUCUCAGCAACCAAACAUAGGAUAGAGUUUCUUCUGGUUUCUUGAGAAAAUUUAGGAAAAGAAUACGAGAAUAUCAACUUCUUGUUUUGGAGUCAUAAUACUAAAGUGUCUGACAAUAUUGUCCCAUUAGGCCAUGAUCUUCUCCAUUUUCCAUAAUCCAAACAGAGAAACCUCAUACUGGUUUCUUGAGAAAUUAUAUAUAUACGUGUGUAUAUCUUUUAUAUUUAAAUAUAUGAAAUUAUAUAUAUAUAUA
rnacentral:lncRNA from 1 species